GAUGUGCUGAGCUCCUGGAGGACGCCCUCCUAAAGCUGGAGCAGCACUUUCUCUCCAUCCUCCUUCAUGAAUGAAGCAGAGCAGAACAACAAGCUGGAUUCCUCUGCAUCUUCCCAGCUGAAAUCAGGAGAAACCUGUUUGGAAGGUGUCUCCUGCAGGUGUCUCAGAAAUGCCAGCAGUGCCAGGAAUUUCCUGCUUUUCUCAGUGUUUUGGCCAGUGCUGGUUAAGGAGGAACUUCCCAGGGCUGGGGGUAAGUGAAUGUAUAGCAAAGCAGUUCUUUUCCCAGUGGGCUGAUUAGUAAUGUCAACAGGCAGUACUAAAUUGUCUUUUGAUUUUGGGAGUGGUUUAAUUCUACUUACAGCAAAAAGUGAUUGUUCCCUUCUUUACAGUUUAUUCUUUACUUUCCUUGAUUGUUUUGCUGGUCUCUCAGGCUGUCCCAUCCCUGCAAUCUGAACAGUGACUGAGCAGAAGAAAUACUUGUUUUUAUGCCUAUAAAACCAUAACUUUAUUUUUGCCAUGUAAAUGUCACUUUGUUUUAUUACCCAUGGCUAGAAUUAAUGCAUAAUCUGGGCCUCAGUCUCAAAAUCCUGUUUUUAUUAUCAAGGGAAGGCAGACCAAACCAGUUACCUGCCUUCCAGGCACCCUUUUUUAAGGAUGUCUUGCCUAAGCAUUUCCUGUCUCAGGGAGCAAAGGAACUGCAUCCCUGGCAUUGAAAGAGGGGCUCCAGAGUGUCCCUGGGAAUGGUCUGUUCCUGUCCUUUCUGCCUGGAGCUCUCAGGACUGGCUCAGCAGUGUCCAGGAAUUCAUUCAGCACUCCAAGGGCACGGCUGUGUCUGCAGACAAGUUGGCAGCCCAGUCUGAGGGAGGACAGGGGAGCCUGGAGCAGUCUCACAUCCAUCCUUAGCACAGCCUCAGCUGUGCUCAGCUCCUUAAACCAGGGAGCUCCCUAAACCAGGGAGCGUUUGGGACAGGCAGGGUGGUGGAAAUCCCAAUUUACAGCUGCAGCUCUGUGUGCCUGUGGAGUUCAGGGGAGCUAAGCUGCAGGUUUCCUGUGUCUGAGUAUUGCUCAGCAUGAAAGCUCAAAGCCAUUUCUCUUGCUGAAUUAAAGCAUUCUGGUAAGAUGGAUGGGAUUAUGGGGUGCACAUCUGUGUCCUCCACAAGUGGGGAAAAAGGAAAUUCUCCCAGAUGGCUUUUUCACCUCUGAGCAGCCAUCUCAGUCUAAGCCAAUUGUCAGUGUUUGAGAUAGUAUUUACAGAGGAGCUUUCCUGGUGUGAGUAAUGCCAUUUCAAAUAGAUGGAUGUCAUCCAUUUCAGAUGAGCUGAUCCAGUGCAAGGGUAGCAGUGAGAAAUGUCAGUGCUACGUGCUCAGAAAUUACAGCCCAGCUGUGCUGAAAUGAAGAGCUGGGUUUAGGGGAGCGUGUGUGUUUGAAAAUGUGCAUUUCUCAGGGAUUUGGGAUUGUCAGAGCUGAACUCAGAUUGUUCCUGCAGGUGCCCAGGCAGGCAGGCUCAGAGCUGGGAGGGGACAGCUGGUGGCACAAGCUGAUGUGGAGGUGACACUGCCCAGGGAGAUGGGGACAGGGUGAGGGGCAGGGCUCUAAACCAACAGAGGAGAGGUUUGUGUCAGAUGCUGGGGAGAAAUUCUUUACUCUGGAGGUACCAAGGCACUGGAACAGCUUGCACAGAGAAAUUGUGGUUGCCCUGGUUAAUGAAAUCUUCUAUAAAUGUGGGGUGACAUUUGGAAUUCAAGGCAAAAGAAAUCAUUAAGCCAAAGCUUGCAAAUGGAAGGGAGAGAACCAAAAGGAAAGGAAAGCAUUAUGCCAAGUAAGCAGGAACUUCAGAAUGAGAUUUCUGCAUUUUUUAUGACAUGAGAGUACUGCCUAUAGCAAAAAUAAAACGUUUGUUAGCCUCAGGCUGGCACCAGGUACAAAGGACUGGUAACAUUCAGGAACUGGAAAGCCAUUAUCAAGUAUGUAAUGGAACAUCCCUGAGUUAUCUGGGUGAUAAACCUUCCUUUGGCUUCCUGCAUGAGAGAAAAGUGGAGCUGAAAUCAAGCAAAUAAACUAAUAUUCCUUAAUGUUUAAAAUAUGAUGUUAUUGGGCAGUUUAAAUUAGAAGAGGAGUGUGCCAGAGAAACACCUGGGUGGGAGAGCCAGGUGAUACCAACACAGCAGAUGAUGCUUUUAGCAGAGACAGGUGAAUUUGUGAAGCUGGUGACACCAAAUGUGGGAGUGAUUUGUAGGAAAGGCUCCUAAGCCAAGGAAGCAAAGAAAAGGAGUCCCAAGGAGUCAAUAUACUAAAAUACAACUAGACUUUUUUUAUUGUUUGUCUUUAGAACGUGGACACACAAGGUUGGAAACUACCUCCACCUUUUGAUUUUAUUUGGAAAGGAACCUGGCCCUGGCCACUGGGAGAAUGUCCAAGAGCAAGAGCUUGGGUCUUGGAGCUGUGGGUGCCCCCUGAGAGUGGGGCUGUGCCAGGGCAGGGCCCAGGAGGGCAGAGCAGCCAGGCAGCAGCAGGGCAUGUCCUGGCUGGGCUGGGAAAGACAAGAUCCAUUGGAGAAGCAAAGGGCUGUGGAAAAACAGAGCAGGACUGGGAUCCCCAGUCGGCACUGCCCAUUGCCUGCUAAUGAGCAGCCAGCUCCAGGAGGGAAGCAGAGACUCUGGGGGCAGCUUAAAAGUGAUUGCUGGGGCUUGGAGCUCUGAGAACUGCUUGCAGUUCCUCUUUCCCACCCCACUGCCCCUUUCCCACCCCACUGCCCCGCUUCAUCCCCAGUGGAACGUUUCUAUGACAUUCAGUGGGUGUGUGAGACUUUGCAAUGCCAGCAUAGUUCUUCCCAGGUUGUUCUCAGAUGGGGGAUAUUUAAUAAAACUGCUCCUUAAAAGGGUGCUGAGGUCUCUGGAUGUUUGGUGGGGAGCAGGGGGCACCUUUGGGGGCCCCUGGGGGAAUCCUGGGUGUGUGAAUGGAGGCCCAGGUGGGCUGAGCACUCACCUGUGGGCAGAGCUGAGCAGAGCAGGGGCUCUUUGGGUGAGGCUGGAGCUCACUGCUCUCACCUCUCACAGAGCUGAGCAGGGCAGGGGCUCUUUGGGCUGGGCUGGAGCUCACUGCUCUCACCUCUCACAGAGCUGAGCAGGGCAGGGGCUCUUUGGGCUCAGGCUGGAGCUCGCUGCUCUUACCUCUCACAGAGCUGAGCAGAGCAGGGGCUCUUUGGAUGAGGCUGGAGCUUGCUGCUCUCAGCCCCCAUCCUGAGCCUGCUCCAGUCUGGUGGUAAAUGGUACUGAAAUUGCCAUGUAGGACCUAAUAACACAAUAGACAAUAUAAUCACAAGCUCUGAAAGGUAAACAAAACACUCUUCUGGCAAGGUGUGACAGGGAGUUACAGUUUAUCCCUCUCUGCAGAAUCCCUGCCUGACCCAACCAUUCCCCUCAUUCACACGGUGGGGUGAUUAGAAAGCCUUUGACACAGCCCUGUCUCACACAUUACACAGCAGAUUGUUUGUUGGAGUGGCAGUAAAGGCUUGGCUGCAGCAGGGCUUGCUCUGCUCUGAGGGGAGCAGAUGGUUCACAGAGUUACAGGGUAAGAACUGAUUGUGGAUUUGCCAUCCUCUAACAGCAGCAGUGUCCAGUGAUAAUGUACUGUACUGCUUGUUACUAAGUAAAGAGCUGCUUUCUAUUGCUGUAUUGCAAAUUGGCUGCUACCAGGAGGAGUUAAAUACAUGAGUUAAAUACAACAGUAAAAUCCACGGCUGUCUGAUAUCCUGAAGCAGUGAACAAAUUGCUCAGAGGGAGCAGUGGUGAGGCACUGAAGAAUAUUCACUGAUAUUUAUCAUUUCUGUCUCUGUCAAAAAACUCCAGAAGAUCACAAUUCUCCUAAUGCCAGAGACAGUCACAGCCCUGUUGCUUUACCAUUUACUUUUCAUGCUUUUAAUACAUAAUAGCAAAAUACUGAAUAUGUUCUAUGCUAGCAGAACUCAAAAUCACAGGAUUUUUAGCAGUCACUGAGCAUACAAUGAAAUAUUCUCUUCUAUACUGUUCUCCUUUGGCUUGAAGAAAAGAAAAUUCCAGGAGGUUAAAAAUGCAGCUAAAGCAGGAGCAGUAUUAUAAUUCAAGGUGACUGUGUAGCAUGUAUAAAUAACCAUGCAGUAAAUAUUUUGCCUUUUAUAUUCCAGUAGCUUUUAACAGCUUUCCCCAGUUCAGGCUGGGGAAAGGGAGGCCAUUACAUCCUGCCAAGGUGCUUUUCACUCAAGCUGUUGUUCCUUGAAGAUAACAGACUCUUACAGGUCAGACUCUCAAAGCUGCAGCUGCUGACCCAGCUGGGAGCUGCUGCAGGGCGUGAUCCCAGUGCCUGUUCCUGGGGGCUGCAGUGCUCCAUGGAGCAGUGCUCUGGGGGAAGAGUUCCCUGAUCUGUCACUGUUAAAGGAAGGACAGAGCUGUGUUCCCUGGUGGCCCUGGGCUGCUGGACUGUGAUGUCCCAAAGGUGCCAGGUCAAAGGGCCCUGUGGGCAGCUGGCAGUGCCCCAGGGUGGGUUAGGAACCAGCUCCUCCUGCCUGGCUGGCUCUGGGAUGGAGAGGGCAGGGCUGGAACCCGCCCUGAGCCCCGCUGGAGCUGCCCUGGGCUCUGUGCACAGCACCCCCUGCAUUUCCCUGGGGGCUCCUCAGGGCUCUGUGAGGAACAGAAACACCUGCACGUCCAGCUGAGGGGCUGGCACCUGGCAUGGACCCAGUUAGUGCUGGGCACGGGGGCAUGAGUGGCAGAAAUCAUCUGUGCUUCAUCCUCUGCAGUGCCAAGGGCUGUUAGGAAGGGACUGCAAACAAGAUGAGGAAUUGGAACGUUUAUGUGUUGUGCACUGAACGGGAGAAUCCUCAAGUGGCUGAAAAAUGAUUGAAGCUUUUCCUUUUAACCCGUGGUAAAAUUUGGAUUGUCAAAACAAGUGCUGCAAAAAUUGAAGAUGGCCUAUAGCUGAGCAAUCCUUUCACUUAAACCUUGAGAAGGAGCCCAGACAAAGGACAGCAGAAGCUGAGUGCCUGCCACAGCACCGAGCUGGAUGCACAGAACUGUGCUGGGGUUAAGAAACUGCCUGAGAGAGUUUCUGCCCUGAUCUGCACACCUCAGACAUCUCUCCAAGGCACACAGCACCUCCCUGAUCUUCCGGGUUCCAAAAAUGGAAGGUGAGAACGACUUGCCCCUGCCUACGUGCAGCUCAACUCUUCGGGACUCGCAACAGGUCAAACGCUACGUGCCAGCAAAGACGUGCCAGCGAGGACUUACACCGGUCAUCACACACCUCUACGACAGUUACUCAAAGCAAGGACUAACUCUGGACAUUAGCAUUUGAAUGUGCCCGGGGACCCUUUCGGGAUUUAAUGUAAAUAAAGUUAAUGGUCGAUGAUUAGAGAAACAAUGGGAGGAAAGUUGCCGAGGGGGAAACUAAGUGUAUUUAAGUUGGGUCUUUAGGUGGGCAAGUUUGUGAACCCAGCUAGAGACAAGGCUGCCAGGUCCUGUGUCUCUGGGGUCACCCUUGGCUCUACUUUUCCCGGGAGAACUUCGGUCAAGUAAGUUUGCUGUUCGUGGGGUUCGUAUUGUUUUGUUUUUAUUGUUUGAAAUUGUUAUAAUUUGAUUCUAAAUUUUGUGAUUUGGAUGUUAAUAAACCAAACUAUUGAAUUUGGCAAUAAAUUUGUCCUGGCGUUUAUAACAAUUUGA